GAUCUACUUUUUUUGUUAUAUUUGAAAAUAUGUAAAAAAAACUUUGAUCUACUUUUGUAGCACUACAAGGGUUAAUUCAUGGUAUAACUUAACAAAUCUCUGAGGACAAAGGUUAAUUCAUGGUAUAACUUAACAAAUCUCUGAGGACAAAGGUUAAUUCAUGGUAUAACUUAACAAAUCUCUGAGGACAAAGGUUAAUUCAUGGUAUAACUUAACAAAUCUCUGAGGACAAUUGUAGAGGUCUGAGCUUUCUUCAGACCUCUGAUUUAAGUUAUACCGUGAAUUAAGGAAAGAUCUUAGACUUCACCUUACGAAACAAAGCAAAUGCGAUUGCAAUUAUGGACAAGGUAGUGGAAAAAUGAACUUGUUAUUAGAAGACGGGGGAACUUACGUGCCUCUUAAGAUAGAAUCGUAAAUCAAGAACGAAUGCAGUAAAAAAAUAUCAAUAAACAAGCAGUGAAUUCAGCCUACGUCAAUUGUUUAUAUUCCUGGAGAACCAAUUACACGCCUUACUCCACCCUACACACAAAACACAAGAGAGACGCGCAAACACUAAUACAACUCGUGUCAGCAACUUUCUAGUAAAAAGCUCCUAAAUCAGGUUUCACAAAGACGUAGUAAUUCACUAGUAAAUCCAAGAAACCUAGACAAUCUUUAUUAACGAAGAAGUUUGGCAUAAUGUAAGCUUUAUCAGGAAGUUGAUCAAGGUCUCACUGAUCAUAAAAAUACCUUUAUCAAAGGUUCCUUCUGUCUUGAUUUACUACGUGUGGGUUACUGCGUAUCUUUCAUGCAGUGGAAAUACGUGCCUAUGUUGGUAUGUGUUGCCACGUGGAGCAGUGACAGUGGUUAUGACCGCGGGUUCAGGCUUCCAUACUCUGUAGUUAGUCUUUAACUCUUUGUGUGUUGAUAAUGAUCUUGUGCGUUGCGGUACUCCUCCUCCCCCAUCAAGUCUUCCUACUUGCAACACUUCUUGUCAUGAUCAAACACUCAUGUAACUGAGGUAGUGAAGGCGAGGUGGUGCGUAGUUACGCUAAAAACAUCAGUCGAAAUAAGUCACUUUGACUUUUCUGGGUUAUUCUGGUGCGUAAUUUACACAUAUAACAGAAAUAUGUAAUCACAUUCGUCGGGUAGCACAGAGAAUGCAUUAGAUGUUUCCACAACAAUCUCUUUCUUCUCCAUCGUUUCUACCUUUCCAUUCGUCUUCUUGAUCGUCAACUUUGUUCCAUGCUGUCCAGCCUCUGUCCAGUUUCCCUUCUUGACCUGAGGACUCAGAACAGGAUUGCUACGAAUCCUCUUGUUUUUCUUAGGCAAUCGCCGUAAUCAUAUUUAUGUAUACCUGUACUUAAACUUACUUAAGCAAAUACAUGAAAAGUGUGUAGAUCCUCGUCAAAGUCAACACAAACAUAACCCCAAUUAAAUAUCUUUUAUAUUUCCACUACCUUCUGUCAUAUAGAUCUUAAAUCCCGUCCCUCAUAUCCAAGCUAUAAUUACCCUUAGUGUCGUUACAAGUGCUGCUGGUCAGAAAAAUUCACGAGACGCUGGAACAAGAGGCGUCCAGAUAUACACGGAAGGUAGCCAACCACUCACACGCUAAACUCACUCUUCAUAAACAAUAAAACCCGCUGACACAAACACACAAUACGACAGUUUCAAAACAGGUUAAAAUAACAUGGUUUAGUUAGAAGCCCCAUCAAGUUGGAUACAUUAAGGGCAUAAAAGAUCACAGAGGUGUCAGCAUGAAGUCUCAAGAAAAUACACAGGUUGCAGGAUAAGCUUUCACCGAAACAUUCUGAUCUGUCAAGCUUUAUCAAGUUCUACACGGAGCGAAACGUUGUCCCCCCCACCCCCCAAAAAACCAGAAAGAUGCAUAUUUUCUUCACUACUUCCUGUGUUACCUUCGACUACCACCUACAUGAUGGGGGGGGGAGGGUUCGCAAUCAAGGCAUUAAACUACCCGCACCGUGCCACUUGGGUCAAAGACCAAUGCCAGGGAAAGUCAGUAAAAAUAUACAGCCGAGUCAGCAGCAUCUGAAGCUACACUGAGGAGACUUAAAACACCAACACUACAACCGAUAAUUUAUUACGAACUCUGCAUAGGAAAGACCUUGUAUACUCACAAGCAUAGCAAAACAUCACACACAUUAACACAACUGCAUGUUCAAACACAUCACUCAGUUGUAAAUAUGGUAUAAGAAUCUGUAGCUACAUAAAGAAGGACAUAUUGUUAAAACAUGAAGCAAAGUUAGCAACGAACCACAAACUGUAAUAAAAACAGGAUUUCGUGCAAGCAAAUGUAAACGGCUAGAGUUGUUGUGCCCAAUAUUCAAUUUAUAAGCAACAGUCUUGUAGCAACAAGUCAUGUAGACUUUGUACAACCCACUGGGAAAGCCACUUUCACAUUACAUAACCCUUUACUUGAAAUAGGUGGCUGCACUCGAUACAGCAGUCUUUGCCUCUACAUCCGCCUGUUCAUAGUCCAGGAACCUGACUUGCCAUAAGCAAACUUAACCUCUCAACCAGCAGGCACUAGACCACGGCACAAAGACACUGAUGUAAAUUUGGAUUACCAGGCAUGCACAACAGCUGAAACAACAGGGAGAUAUGAGGGUCAGAAAACUUGAUCAAACAAGUAUCAAUGGCCGAGCUACGUAUCCAACUUCAAUCUAUCAAUCUACACACAAGUCUUGUUAAAAGAACAAGGCCAAACUCCCACGUCUUGUCUUGCCCUGUAUAACUUUCUGCUGGAAAAAUAGACACAAAUACAGCAAAACGCGAUCCUGUAUUGACUACUUACAGCUUGCUGCUGUUCUACAGGGCCCACCAGGGACCGACACAACCCAAUGUCAUACUGAUAUACAAGACCCUUAAGUUACUGAAGAGUGCUACUGAACGUGCUUGAUAUAGAAUGGCCAGGAUCGUACCACCAUCUCUCACUACAUCACCUACAUCUGUGUUUGUACGGUAGCAACACUGUCUAAGCCAGCAACACAAACACCAACGCUCACCGAGCUCGCACAACACAAGGCAACACAAAAUUUAACAAGUCCCGCCAUCUUUAACCUACCUUAAAGCUUUCAGAGCAAGCUGCUUGUGUAUGGAGAUAAAAAUACGAACUGCAACACAAGCUUUUCCUGCGACGACAUUUCGCUCUGCGUAGAGCUUUAACGUGAGAAAUGUUAUGGCGAUACCGACAAAAUGUGGAGAAAGACAUGUAUAAUUCAGGACAUUUAUUAGAGAAAACGUUUCGCCACGAGUGACUUAAGUCCUGGCGAAACGUUCCCUGUAAAUGUCCUGACUAUACAUCAGUUUGUUUACCACAGCUGUAACAUGUCACAACUCGACAAACUCUACACACAGUGAGAUGCUGUCUAAAUCAAAUCGUUCCAACAACUUGCAUCUCCUCAAACUUGCCCUAAAAAAUGCCAUUCCAACCUUUUAUGAGGUAAAAAUGAAGGUGUGUGUGUCUGUGUGUGUAUGUAAAGUGUAAAGUGAUUGUGUACUGGCCGUAGUUUAUAUAUAAUCUGAAUACAUGCAUAUAGAUAUACAAAUACAUACUACUAAGAAAAUAUUGUAAAGUAUACAUGUUGUUAUAUGUUCUUGUUAAAGUCUUGAAGACAGUUUCUGUGUGUAAAAUAAAGUUUUGAGUGUAGAGGAGUGUAGUGUGGACGCUAUAUUGUGGUUCUGGCUACUUGGCGGCCACACUCACCCAGUGUCUACACCUGUGUCUACUGAUAAAUGGUUCAUUAAA